rnacentral:lncRNA from 1 species
UUUUUUUGAGCAACAAAAGAUACCAGAAAGUUAGUGGAAGAUGUCUUUUACAAAUUCUCUUUACAACAUGUAAAGUAUGGUAUGUGCUGUAUAAAAUGGAUGAGUCCCUGCAACAAAAUCCUCGGUAACAAAAGGCUGUGGAAACAUAAGAUGAGUCAUGACAGCGUGGAGAGGGUAAUCAUUUUCCUUAAAGCUUUGCAGCAAUUAGAAGAAUGAAUUUUAAAGUAGAAUAACUACCUGUUGACUUUAAUAUAUCAUCAGAUAAGUCCAUCUUUGGUGGAGAAUGCGUUGAAAAGAAUUGCUCUAGUGGCAUAUGUAAACCGACUUACCCCCUCCGCACUUGUUUUCCCAUUUUGUCAGCCAGCCAUGGGAGCACAUGUGAAUAUCAGCACUCAGAAAGCAUGAGUGUAGGGUCACCCUGAGCCACAAAUCAAGUCCUUAUUUUAUUUUAUCUUAUCUGUUCUGUUUUGUUUUCUGAGCAGCAUUUCUCUGUAUAAUAGCCUUGGCUGUCCUGUAGACUAGCCUGACUUUGAAUUUACAGACAUCUGCCUGCUUCUGCCUCCAAGUGCUGAUACUAAAGCAUAUGCCACCACACCCAGCUUCAAAAUCCUGUUUCUAAAAUAAACAAAACAGACAGGAUCUUUCUUUGUUGCUCAGUUUAGCCCCAAAUUUCUGGUCUCAUACGGUCCUUUUUUUUCAGCCUCCAAAGUUUCUAGGGGUACUGACUCAUGCCACUGUACAAGCUGUAGUAAAUCAUUUUUUGCUGUAUUGCAAGACUCAAGGGAGGCAAUGGAAUGUGACGUGGCUGUCAAAUAGAGGAUGCUAUAAUUGUACUGUACUAUGUGGAAUAUUGUCUUCCACCACCACUGUCUUACAGCACCUAAGUGACCAGGUGCGUAGUCAAGAGUAGAACCUCAAAUGUAAGGCUGUAAAACUAUGAUGAAUAGCAGUGGAGAAGUACGUCUUUAACUUGAAGAACUUGAAUCAUGAUAAGCUCUUAUUGUAGAAGCUUUAUCUAGAAGGUUCUGCCCAAUAGUACAGGAGCAGCCAAACUUCAAAUCUCUGAAGAGAAAGAACGGUUUGACGUGAGACAUGGUUGUUGAAUAUACAGUGGUCAUUUCAGCUGUAAACUGGGAUACAUACAGAAAAUAUAAAGAGAAUUUGUAAAAUUAGUACUUACACUAGAUGACUUGUUUUCACUAUAGUUUUUAAUUUCAGAGCACUUUGGAUGUUGUAAAUAGACUAUCGUUAUCCUAUUUAUGAUACUAAGCACUAGAGUUUUUUUUUCAAUGAUCUAUGUUUUUGUUUAUUACAUUAAUUAAGCUUUUUUAUUACACUUUCAAUGUCAAAGUGCUGCAGUAUAGACUGGACAAGUGCAAUGGCUUACAUAAGCUGUGAUUAUCACUUUAAGAUGGAAUUGCUCCGAAAUUGCUUUAAUUUUAAUCAGUAAGAGGCAGAGUCUUCAAACUCCUGGAUUUGUGACCCUCCAGACAGUCUCCAGAGUGCUAUGAUUACAGUACCUGGAUGAACGACUCCUUACACCCCCUGAAUGGGAGGUUGGGGUUUGAACUCAGGGCUGUAGCAAACUAGGCAACUACUCACCUACUGAUGUAAACCCCUAACCCUUUGAAAAGCUAUUUUUAUAAUAAAAGUCAUAUCUUACAUAU